CUAAUAUUGAACCGUGAAAUGGCAGGCCUCCCAUUUCUGCUGAGCUUUUCAUAACAAAUGAAGCUGGUAAAAGGAUAGAUAAUAUAUCUGUCUUGUCAGGCUUUCAGCUCCCUCUAACUCUGUGCAUUCAACUAAGAAAUAUAUCGCCAGAUCAGCUGUCUCGCGUGUCGAAGUUGUACUGCAUCCUUCACUCACGAACAUCCUUUCAAAUAUUUAGUGAAAGCGAGGAUAAGAAAGUACCAGAGUCCAGUUGUCAGGCUUGGAAAAGCAAUCACAUGGUAGACCUUAAUGACAAGCUAUUGCACUUUACAACAGGGUCUCCCAAGAGGGGUGGAUUACAUGCUAUGGGAAGUGCUGAAGGGACUUCAGUUGUGGAUAAAUUUGUGUGUUUUGAUCCUAAUGAGAAAGGGCAAGGAUUUUCAACCUGCUUGCUAGAUGUUUCUGUGUUUCCUGUGGGUUCUUACCAAAUCAAAUGGCACAGCUGUUGUAUAGACAAUAAUGGUGCUUACUGGAGCCUUAUGCCCCUGAACAAAGAUCAGUUCUUCACUGUACAUGAAUCUUCUAAUAUUGGUCCUUUAGUUGGAGUACCAUAGACUGCAGGUAUUUAGUUAAAGCCGGAAUAAGUUAUUUCUAUAUAUUAGAAGAGCUAGGUUUCGACGUGUGUGCUUCGUGGAAUUUAAUUCAAACCUGAGGGCAAUUUACAUUUCAAUUACUUAGUUGAUAUUGCUUCCUGCGGUGGCUUUUGUUUUUGCAGCCAACACAUCUUCAUUUCUUACUUAGCCGUAUCUUAUUCCUUCGUUUGUUUCCCUUCUCUUUAGUUUCUCAAAGAUAUACUCCAAUUCAUUUUGUUCUUGAUGCUCUUUAAAUCUGAUAUGAAACUUGGGGUUAGAUAGUAAGGCAUGAGGGAGAAGAGUGCAAGUCAGGAAGGAGAGACUAUUUAUAGCUCUUCACCGGAAGCAAAGGUGAACUUUCUCUCUUUCCUUUCUUUCCGUCUCAAGUGUUUGCUUUCCUCUAUAUUUAGUCAGGACUAUGCAGCAGGCUUAUUUGGGUUUCUGAUUGUGGAAUGCAUGUAUCUCUGUUGAUUAUGGUUGGAAUCUUUUGGUUGACUGUGUUAGCUAAUUUCAUCUAAAACAACAGGUGUCACACACCUUGUGCUGAAUAUACAAUGUUUCUCCUUGGAUAUACCAUUGAUAUACAGUCUUACAAAAAUCACAUGCCUAUAAUAUAUCUGAGAAGAUUUACUACGAACAAGGUUCAAUCUUCCACUUUUGAAUAAUCAAAAAGCAAGGUUGCAACAAGGUAAGUCAAUCUAGAAAAGAUACUUCGAUUGAAUGUUAUUUAUUGGUUUGGUCGCCACUCGCCAGUGAAAGGCCUUUUGCUACUAUUUUGGGUUGCUACUGGAUCCACUUUUUGCUGAUGUUUCUGGAUGCAAUUGAAGCCACUUAUGCUGCUGCUUCUUGGAUGUUACUACAAACACCUUUAAAGUUGUUCUGGAUGCGGGUGGAACUACUUUUGUUGCUCUUUUUCUAGAUGCUGUACAGUCAUUUUUUGUUGUUGUACUAUUAGGUUAGUCCAGCUGGUUACACAUCAAACUCUUCAGUACUUUUAACUUCUAAGAUCCAGGUCCAUUCAUUUUUGUUUCCUUCUGUAUAUGCUCUGUGUUCUCUGGCUUUAGUUUCGAGCAGUCUUACUGAAGAUAUUUAGUAUCAUAAUCAAACCAUAAUAUCCCUUGAAAACAACUAUUCAACUAGGGGUUGAAAGGGGUAUGCUAGCAGCUCUUUUGUGGGUCUGCCAUUUUCCCGUCGCUAUAUCUCUGUACAAUAACAGCGUAAUCAAUCAGCUUGUAAAGAGCUAUUGGAUUUGCAUUGAAAAGCUCUUCUUGACUGUUUUUUUAUGGUAGCAUCAAGGUAUUCUCUCUAUAUGAAGUGCGAGUACUUGACAAAAGGUUCUUUUUCAUCCACAAAAAUGCUAACUUAAAGCAGCAGUUUAGAAAAGUGAAAAAUACUAACCUAAUAAAGGCACAAAUAUCAGUCGAUCUCUAAACACUUCAAUUCGAAAGCAUUUUAUUCCUCCACUUCCUUCACUUUAUUGUUAGCUUUAUACACCCUUUCUCUGUGUCUUUUUGUAUUUUCUUAUUAUAAUUUUUUCUCUUGUAAGGUUAAGAGUACCAUAGUUAAUAUUUGUUACUCUUCUCCUCUUGGUAAAAGGAGCUAUCAUGGUUUACUAUAUGAUUAUUGGUCAAAUUUCAUCCUUUCUGCUCAAGAUUGUGAGUAUUUGUUAGCUCUAACAAGGAGGUAAGGGUAGUGCAAAAGCUUAAGCUUUUUGCUCUUUGUUAUUUCCUUCAAGAAAGCUCUUUUACUCUUACAUUGUUCUACCCAUUUUGAGAUUGAGAGCUUUUGGCUUGAUAAAACCAAUUAAUGGUUUACAAAAUCAGUAUUUAAAGGCCAGAAUUGUGAUUUUGAUAGAUUGGUAAGGCUGAACAAAUAUAAAUAGCAGGUUCCUUUCACACCGUCUCUGGUACUUGUGUCUGUUUGAAUUUGCCUGCACAUAGAUGAACUAUAUCUUCUGUUGUCCAAACAUUGUUAGAUUUGGUGAAACUAUUGAUCUUAUAGAAUUAAUUGAGUUAAAUACUCAGAAAAGGUUCUGAUAGUGUAUUUCGCAUGCUCCGUUAUGCUUUACUCUCUUAAAUUACUUUGUCUUUUUGCUUUUUCCAAAUUGAAUCUGUUGAGAUUCAUGAAGGCUGCUACCAUUUAAAUGUGUCCUCUUUUCUUCCACCUUGACACCUUCACUUUGACAGAUGUUUAUUGUCUUGCUUCUUUGUUUCGGGUGAUUUUUGGUUUUAAAAAAAAUUAAGAAGGCACUGAGCUUCCGCCGAAAAGUAUUUUCAGCUGCCUGCAAGAAUCUGAAAAGGAAUGUACAUUUUGGACUUUAAGAAUCUACUAAUAUGAUGCUACCAUAGAGAUAAAGAAUGUAUAUUUGAUCCAAAAUGUAUAUAAAUAUUAUCCAGCAAUUAGUGUGCCUGUAGUGUUGCUUAUCUAAUUAGAUACUAACUUACAUGCAUCAAUUUUUAUUAUCAGCCCUUUCACACAAAACUAAGUAAUAUUGGGCCCGUACUGGCACGGAGAAUAACCACCUAGUGGUAGAAAUAUUUAUUGGUACAUUUUUCUCAAAGAGGUAAUAAUCUAUAAGCUUCGGCAUACUCCCAGAGCACUUUCACUUCUCUUACUUGAUAGUUAAGUACUUGCACAUUGUGUUUUAUCUCUUAUUGAGUUUGCUUUGAUGUUCAAUCUCGAUUUUAAUUUGGUGCCCCUGCAUAAAUCCAACAUUUAGGAUAUGUGGCUGACUGGUAAGAGGUGAUCCUUACGUGUAAAAGUGUUGCAUGGAGUUUUUAGCAUUCCCUUUUGACUAGUUGGUAGUAGAGCAUAGAUCCAAGCAUGAGCUCCUAUAACGUGUUUAUACCAUGAAAUGGUAGAUUUUCUUUCAACUAUUAGAUGUUGGUUAAACCUUAUAUAAUUUCCUUCUUUUUUUUUGUAUUCGGCAGCUGUAUCUCAAUCUACCACACUACAGAUAUCUCCAGGAAUAGUGGCGGAAAACUCUCCUGGCUCUUAGCCAGAAACUAAAGUCAUUUGUGAGAGAGUUCAAACACAUGGCUUGUCAAGGCUAAAAAAUCUGAGGAAGUAUGCCCAUUCAGUAAAGGUGAAGUAUCAUAUAUCAAUCCAAGUGGGCGUCCGCCGUAAUGCUGAGGUCUGCUUCCAUAGCUCUCAAGUCUCAGCACAAGUAUGUGGUAAAUCAUUGCUCUGACUCACAUGAAAUAGGUCCCUUGAAAUUGGGAUGUUCGACCAGGCCAAUGGAUGAAACUAACCAAAGGUUCAUGGGUGAGAUCUAUGUCACCUUUCGAUCACAAGUUCUUGGAUAUUAGAAUGGCCAGCUCGGCUAAGCAAACUCUUCAGGUCUCGCUGGAUGAAGAAUUUGUUUCUAUCAUGUUAUUUUUCUGGUACUGGGGAUAUUGUUAAUUACUCUGGCAUCCUUCCUUAGCAAGUCUCUAGGAUUUUACUAUGGCAGUGCAAUGGCAGUAGGGUCACUCAUUUUCCUUGUGAUACUUCUUUUCCAGGUUGGAGUGGGAUCUUUCUUUCUGCGCUAUGUGUCACAAUUGUUGCGUUCAAUACUUAACGAGAUUGGUAUUGGUGAAGACAUGUAUAACCCUAUAUUUGCAAAUUCUGCUGUUUUUCCUCGUAAUAGCUGGAGCUUGGUUGGGAAGGGGAGCCUUGGAGCAAUGGUAAAGUUGUCUCCAUGUGACCAGAUCACGGGUUCGAACCGUGGAAGCAUCCACUAAUGCUUGGUAGGCUGUCUACAUCACAUCCCUUAGAGUGCGGCUUUUCCCUAGAUGCUUUGUGCACCGGGCUGCCCUUUUUUUUAGCUGGAACUUGGUUGGGGUUUUGGGUUGUUCACAAAUUUGUACUUGCAGAAGAUGGAUCCAUUGACAUCGGAGUAUCUCAAUAUGUCGGUUGGUCCAUUCGAGUUUUUGCUUUGGGAUUGAUCAUUCAGGUUUCCAUCAUGGCUAGGAAUACUUUUUUUUUCCACCUAUACAUUUGAUCCCCCAAAAUUCUCACACUUUUGGUUGUCUGUAGCGCUUACCGGCUAUGUUACUCGGACUCUCCAAAAGAGCUCCGCACCUGUGUCGGAUCCUCCAAAAAUGCACUAAAAUUGGAGGAUCCGACACGCACCCAACAACACUUUUAGAGUUCGAGUAACAUAGCUUAGCGGAGUUAAUUGGGCAGUUACAUAGCUUUAUUUUUUCUUCAGAGUUCUCUGGAUCUUUUAUUGGUUUUGGAGGCACUGAUAUGUGGAGUUCUGAUUUUGCUAGUCUUGAGGAGAUUAUUCCGUCCCAAAUAUGUUUUGCGCUUUUGCAAGAAUUUAUUACAAAUAGACACGCUUUAUCUCUGGAGAUGUCAGGAUUCUUACACAUCACUGAUAAAGGGUCAUAUGGUUCCAGGACUUCCGAGAGAAAUCGAAAUGACACAAUCGGUCGAGGUUAGACUGAAUUAGUUAUUAGUAGAUGAAGUGAAAGUGCAAGGUGGAGCUUCUCUUACAUUUUUUCCCCCUGCAUGUUCUCCUAUCAAGCCGUCAAGCUUGUUAUCAGAGACAGAUACAUUCGAUUUUACAUUCCACAACACUUCUGAACGAAAGAAACUUUCAAAAGAUGAGUGGAAUAAGUUAGCUAGAGACACCACAAAGAAGGCUAUGGAAGAGCUUGUUUCUUCCCCAGAUUUAAGCAAAUGGGUCGUUGCUCACGCAGAUAGGAUUACUUUGUAUGAGUCCAAAUUUAGAUGACCACGACCAUUGAUGAGUACGACAAACGACGAGAUCCUCGUAGCUCGACAUUUUGCAGGAGACGACAGACGAGCGAACAAGAGGCCGCAUGACUUUUGCAGUAGUGUAGGUUCAUUAGGGAGCAUUAGGAAUAUUCUUUCGAAUAUUCUCUAUGAUUUGUCUUUUAGGGCUUAGAAAGGGUUUGUCCCUUAUAUAUAUAGCGUAAAAUCAACCUUGUAGGGGGCUGGGGACAUUCUUCCAACUAAGAACACUCGUUGUAACACUUGUUUACAUAAACAAUUGAUAUCAUUAUUGUUCGAUCAUUCAUCUUGAUAAGGUCAAGAAGUA